AUCAUUUUGCAAGCCUGAUUUGAAUAUUGAAUUGCAAACUGAAUAAUGCAUAAUACUUUGAAUUAUGACCUUAAAAAACUUCCAUAGAUUAUGGCUAACCGCUUCAAUUCUCCAGCAAAGCAGCACCGCGGUGGAUUAUUGACAUCAUGAAUCUUUACAGUUUGGAUUAAUGGGGACAUCAUUUCCAUUUGGCACCAGAAGGACCGUUCAACAAAACCACCACAGCGACAUGAGCUCGGCGAGGACCCACAUCACCUGGUUCAGAGGAGGCGGGCAGUGGUGGACAUCUUUUAUUUUAAUUCUACAAUGUUUUCAAUGGUUUUAACUGCUACAAAAAUAAAUUUUGUACGAUCUGACUUUGACCCACAUUUCCUUUUGUCUUACCUAUAUGCUAAAACAGUGAAUAAACAGAAGAGACUGGUCACUCAAAUAUGUUAAACAUGAUUUUUAUUGAAUCACACACAUCAGCAAGAGUCAUCUUCAUAUCUUCAUAUGCCUUUAAAUGUAAAUGCUGUUUUGGAUUAUAAAUCCACUCACCACCAGAAGCAGACCUGAAGAAGAACAUACAAGAUAAACAUUAGAUACAAUUAAAAAAAAUAACAUUUAAUAUGCAUACAUUUGUUAAAAAUUAAAUAUUCAAAUUAUAUGUUCGUAUUAACUGAAAGUUUUCUGUCUUCACAUUUGAACUUCACAUUAAGAGAUUCUGGUGUCACUGUAGCAGAUCUGAAUCAUGUCCUUAUGUUAUAACUUUUUGAUUAUAGAAAAUAACCAUCAAUAAAAAUACAGAGAAAACGUCCUUUUUUAAACAUAAUAGACAUAAAUUUUGCUGAGAAUAAAAAAAUUGAAUUACUGGAACUAAACCAAUCAUAAUAUACAUUAAUGAUUUAUUUCCGGCAAAUAUAAAGUUAUUACUUUAGUACUUACCGGAGAAAAGACACCAGAUGACUCCCAGAGAGUGUUAGAACAGUUUACAUCACGGCAGCAGGACAAAAACCGAAAUAUAGCGCUCAUGCUAACGCUAAAUCUGUAGCAGACCAGCUAAACACCGGAGCACAGCUCCCAGAAUCCACCGCGAUCGUCACCUGUCAAUCAAAGGCCGCGCCCCCUCAUUAAACGAAAAUAAAUCCUGUUU